AUGAGACUGUGGGGUCUUCUUCUCUGUCUGGGGUCAGCUGUUCUGGGUGUCCUGUCUCAAGUACAGCUGCAGGAAUCAGGCCCAGGACUGGUGACUUCGUCCCAGACACUCUUCCUCACCUGCUCUGUAUCUGGUGAAUCCAUUACAACUGAUGGCUAUUGUUGGCACUGGAAUCGCCAGCGCCUCUGGAAAGGAUUGGAGUGGUUGGGGGGAAUAUGUGCUAGUGGAAAUACCUACAAUAGUCCAUCCCUUAAGAGCCGCAUAUCAAUCACCAGAGACACAAAUCAAAACCAGUACUCCCUGCAGCUGAGCUCUGUGACCUCUGAGGACACAGCUGUGUAUUACUGUGCAAAAGAAUCACACAGUAAAGGGAAGUCAGGGUGA